CCUACGGGAGGCAGCAGUGGGGAAUAUUGCACAAUGGGGGAAACCCUGAUGCAGCGACGCCGCGUGAGUGAAGAAGUAAUUCGUUAUGUAAAGCCCUAUCAGCAGGGAAGAAACUGACGGUACCUGAGUAAGAAGCACCGGCUAACUACGUGCCAGCAGCCGCGGUAAUACGGAGGGGGCAAGCGUUAUCCGGAUUCACUGGGUGUAAAGGGAGCGUAGACGGCGAAGAAAGUCUGAAGUGAAAGCCCGCGGCUUAACCGUGGAACUGCAUUGGAAACUUUUUUGCUGGAGUACGGGAGAGGGAGGCGGAAUUCCUAGUGUAGCGGUAAGAUGCGUAGAUAUUAGGAGGAAUACUAGUGGCGAAGGCGGCUUACUGGACGAUAACUGACGUUGAGGCUCGAAAGCGUGGGGAGCAAACAGGAUUAGAUACCCCGGUAGUC
rnacentral:rRNA from 1 species